rnacentral:rRNA from 1 species
GAUGAACGCUGGCGGCGUGCUUAACACAUGCAAGUCGAACGAAGCACUUUAUUUGAUUUCCUUCGGGACUGAUUAUUUUGUGACUGAGUGGCGGACGGGUGAGUAACGCGUGGGUAACCUGCCUUGUACAGGGGGAUAACAGUUGGAAACGGCUGCUAAUACCGCAUAAGCGCACGGCAUCGCAUGAUGCAGUGUGAAAAACUCCGGUGGUAUAAGAUGGACCCGCGUUGGAUUAGCUAGUUGGUGAGGUAACGGCCCACCAAGGCGACGAUCCAUAGCCGACCUGAGAGGGUGACCGGUCACAUUGGGACUGAGACACGGCCCAAACUCCUACGGGAGGCAGCAGUGGGGAAUAUUGCACAAUGGGCGAAAGCCUGAUGCAGCGACGCCGCGUGAGCGAAGAAGUAUUUCGGUAUGUAAAGCUCUAUCAGCAGGGAAGAUAAUGACGGUACCUGACUAAGAAGCACCGGCUAAAUACGUG